GACGAACGCUGGCGGCGUGCCUAACACAUGCAAGUCGAACGGAAAGGCCCGGUUUUCAGGCUCCCCGAGUGGUGAACGGGGGAGUAAUUCGCGGGUGAUCUGCCUUGCUCUUCGGGAUAAGCCUGGGUAACGGGGUCUAAUACCGGACAUGACCUUCCUUGUAGUGUGGGGGGUGGGAAGUGUUGUCGGUGUGGGAUGAGCCGGCGGCCUAUCAGCUUGUUGGUGGGGUAAUGGUCUACCAAGGCGUCGACGGGUAGCCGGCCUGAGAGGGUGGACGGCCACAUUGGGACUGAGAUACGGCCCGGACGCCUACGGGAGGCAGGGGUGGGGAAUAGUGCACAAGAGGCGGAAGCCUUGUGCAACGACGCCGCGUGGGGGAUGACGGCCUUCGGGUAGGAAAGCUCUUUCGACUGGGACGAAGCUUCAGUGACGGUACCUGUAUAAGAAGCACCGGCUAACUACGUG
rnacentral:rRNA from 1 species